rnacentral:rRNA from 1 species
CCUACGGGAGGCUGCAGUGAGGAAUAUUGGUCAAUGGACGAGAGUCUGAACCAGCCAAGUAGCGUGAAGGAUGACUGCCCUAUGGGUUGUAAACUUCUUUUAUAUGGGAAUAAAAUGUUCCACGUGUGGGAUUUUGUAUGUACCAUAUGAAUAAGGAUCGGCUAACUCCGUGCCAGCAGCCGCGGUAAUACGGAGGAUCCGAGCGUUAUCCGGAUUUAUUGGGUUUAAAGGGAGCGUAGGUGGAUUGUUAAGUCAGUUGUGAAAGUUUGCGGCUCAACCGUAAAAUUGCAGUUGACACUGGCAGUCGUGAGUACAGUAGAGGUGGGCGGAAUUCGCGGUGUAGCGGUGAAAUGCUUAGAUAUCGCGCAGAACCCCGAUUGCGAAGGCAGCGUACCGGCUCCACACUGACGCUGAGGCACGAAAGCGUGGGUAUCGAACAGGAUUAGAUACCCCGGUAGUC